rnacentral:rRNA from 1 species
AUGAACGCUAGCUACAGGCUUAACACAUGCAAGUCGAGGGGCAGCAUGGUCUUAGCUUGCUAAGGCCGAUGGCGACCGGCGCACGGGUGAGUAACACGUAUCCAACCUGCCGUCUACUCUUGGACAGCCUUCUGAAAGGAAGAUUAAUACAAGAUGGCAUCAUGAGUCCGCAUGUUCACAUGAUUAAAGGUAUUCCGGUAGACGAUGGGGAUGCGUUCCAUUAGAUAGUAGGCGGGGUAACGGCCCACCUAGUCUUCGAUGGAUAGGGGUUCUGAGAGGAAGGUCCCCCACAUUGGAACUGAGACACGGUCCAAACUCCUACGGGAGGCAGCAGUGAGGAAUAUUGGUCAAUGGGCGAGAGCCUGAACCAGCCAAGUAGCGUGAAGGAUGACUGCCCUAUGGGUUGUAAACUUCUUUUAUAAAGGAAUAAAGUCGGGUAUGCAUACCCGUUUGCAUGUACUUUAUGAAUAAGGAUCGGCUAACUCCGUGCCAGCAGCCGCGGUAAUACGGAGGAUCCGAGCGUUAUCCGGAUUUAUUGGGUUUAAAGGGAGCGUAGAUGGAUGUUUAAGUCAGUUGUGAAAGUUUGCGGCUCAACCGUAAAAUUGCAGUUGAUACUGGAUAUCUUGAGUGCAGUUGAGGCAGGCGGAAUUCGUGGUGUAGCGGUGAAAUGCUUAGAUAUCACUCAGAACACCGAUUGCGAAGGCAUCUGGCGAAUCCGUAACUGACGCUGAGGCACGAAAGCGUGGGGAUAGAACAGGAUUAGAUACCCUGGUAGUCCACACGGUAAACGAUGAAUACUCGCUGUUUGCGAUAUACGGCAAGCGGCCAAGCGAAAGCGUUAAGUAUUCCACCUGGGGAGUACGCCGGCAACGGUGAAACUCAAAGGAAUUGACGGGGGCCCGCACAAGCGGAGGAACAUGUGGUUUAAUUCGAUGAUACGCGAGGAACCUUACCCGGGCUUAAAUUGCAGAUGAAUUACGGUGAAAGCCGUAAGCCGCAAGGCAUCUGUGAAGGUGCUGCAUGGUUGUCGUCAGCUCGUGCCGUGAGGUGUCGGCUUAAGUGCCAUAACGAGCGCAACCCUUGUUGUCAGUUACUAACAGGUUCCGCUGAGGACUCUGACAAGACUGCCAUCGUAAGAUGUGAGGAAGGUGGGGAUGACGUCAAAUCAGCACGGCCCUUACGUCCGGGGCUACACACGUGUUACAAUGGGGGGUACAGAGGGCCGCUACCACGCGAGUGGAUGCCAAUCCCCAAAACCUCUCUCAGUUCGGACUGGAGUCUGCAACCCGACUCCACGAAGCUGGAUUCGCUAGUAAUCGCGCAUCAGCCACGGCGCGGUGAAUACGUUCCCGGGCCUUGUACACACCGCCCGUCAAGCCAUGGGAGCCGGGGGUACCUGAAGUGCGUAACCGCGAGGAGCGCCCUAGGGUAAAACUGGUGACUGGGGCU